rnacentral:rRNA from 1 species
UUAUGAUUUGGGCUACACACGUGCUACAAUGGACAAUACAAAGGGCAGCGAAACCGCGAGGUCAAGCAAAUCCCAUAAAGUUGUUCUCAGUUCGGAUUGUAGUCUGCAACUCGACUACAUGAAGCUGGAAUCGCUAGUAAUCGUAGAUCAGCAUGCUACGGUGAAUACGUUCCCGGGUCUUGUACACACCGCCCGUCACACCACGAGAGUUUGUAACACCCGAAGCCGGUGGAGUAACCUUUUAGGAGCUAGCCGUCGAAGGUGGGACAAAUGAUUGGGGUGAAGUCGUAACAAGGUAGCCGUAUCGGAAGGUGCGGCUGGAUCACCUCCUUU